rnacentral:tRNA from 2 species
GUCCUCUUCUUCUAGAGGCUAGGAAGCUGUCCUUUCACGACAGAAACAUGGGUUCAAUUCCCAUAGGGGACA